rnacentral:lncRNA from 1 species
CUGGACUCCUGACAGGAUCCUGUGGACAGAGAGGGCUGCAGGAGGAAACAGGGGGUGCUUAGAAAUACAGCUUGUUGCCAGUGUAAUGAGGAGUGCCUUGGCGACUGUGCCCGUGGGACAGGCCUUCUCUCGCUUUGUGUGCAGAACAGGAAGAGCCGCGCUCUGGCUCUGUGGACUGUGACCACUCAGCGGGCGUUGGAGGACGGCACCUGGAUGCAGAUGCCCCUCUUGCCAUGGCAAACCAAUUCAGCUUCACUCUCAACAAUCUACCCAGUACCCAUUUCUCAGAGAGGGCCUCUUACAAGUAGGAAAAUUGUUUUUGCACUGAAAAGGCAAUAUUUGAGCAGAGACUUGAAUGAAAGUGAGAGACAAAAGCCGUGAUAAGAUUUAAGAGGAUACAUUUCCAAACAAGGAGAAGAACAAGUGCAAAGAUCCUGAG